UUUUUGGUAGUAUAAUAAUUACGCUAACUUUUCGUGUUAGCAAUGGCUAUUUCAGUCCCGCUUUGGAAAA
rnacentral:tRNA from 2 species